rnacentral:rRNA from 1 species
GAUGAACGCUGGCGGCGUGCCUAAUACUUGCAAGUCGAGCGAACGGACGAGAAGCUUGCUUCUCUGAUGUUAGCGGCGGACGGGUGAGUAACACGUGGAUAACCUACCUAUAAGACUGGGAUAACUUCGGGAAACCGGAGCUAAUACCGGAUGAUAUUUUGAACCGCAUGGUUCAAAAGUGAAAGACGGUCUUGCUGUCACUUAUAGAUGGAUCCGCGCUGCAUUAGCUAGUUGGUAAGGUAACGGCUUACCAAGGCAACGAUGCAUAGCCGACCUGAGAGGGUGAUCGGCCACACUGGAACUGAGCCACGGUCCAGACUCCUACGGGAGGCAGCAGUAGGGAAUCUUCCGCAAUGGGCGAAAGCCUGACGGAGCAACGCCGCGUGAGUGAUGAAGGUCUUCGGAUCGUAAAACUCUGUUAUUAGGGAAGAACAUAUGUGUAAGUAACUGUGCACAUCUUGACGGUACCUAAUCAGAAAGCCACGGCUAACUACGUG